AUGUAGCUGCGUGAUGCAAGUUUAGGACCGAUUUACAUUUGUCGAGUCUAAACCUGGGCCCGUAUCCUCGAGAGCUAUUAACUUUUACUCUUAAAGUUACUAUCAAAGUUAAUAGUUUCAAAUUAUUAAGAGUAAAAGCUAUCCUCGUCAACUUUGAGUGUAGGUAUUAGCAAAUCCCUGGCUACUAUUAUCUUCUUCUUCUUCUUCUUUAUGGCGGGCUCGUUGCUAAGGACGCCUCCGUGCAAAACGUAAACAUCCGACAUGAAUUAAGUAUAUAUUUCAAAAGAAAAAUAAAGAAAAGAUGUAUAAAUGUACAACAGAAACAUAAUAAAUGGCAAACACAAGAAAAUACUGAGUUUUGUGGCAGAUAGAAGCAGCCUCAAAGGCUGUUUUUACUCCGUCACUCGUCAAUACCCUUAUCUCCCCGCCUGCGUCACGACUUGCUCUGCUGAAAUUACCGCACCAUAACCACGUCAUCUGCCCCAAUGAUCUACGGGCCGGAGAACCAGCGCAGAAAAGGAGUAAGUUUAAUUGGUCGCCAGAUGAAACGGUCUUCUUACAUCAAAUUCAAGAAAAAAUACGUAUAAUCAGAGGGUGUUAUGGGAAGAGUAUCACCCUGAGGAUAAGAAGAGCGUGGACUGAAGUGGCAGAAGCUGUAACAAGUGCCUUCCCUGGGAGUGGACCCCGUACGCAGGAUGACUGUGAGAGGCGUUGGUACAACGUACAACAAAAAUCAAAGCCUUGCAUUGCCAAGUGCAAGAAUGAGCAGCGGCAGACUGAUACACACUUUAUCAGUAUUGCUAGAGACCAUCCCAGCACAUUGUUCAUUACUUGUGGAAAAUAUACCAUUAGCUGCUCCGGCAACAGCCACUGCUUCAAUAUCUGCUGGCCCUAUGACACCAGCCACUGUUUCAUAAUCUGCUGGCCCUAUGACACCAGCCACUGCUUCAUCAUCUGCUGGCCCUAUGACACCAGCCACUGUUUCAUCAUCUGCUGGCCCUAUGACACCAGCCACUGCUUCAUCAUCUGCUGGCCCAAUGACACCUGCCACUGCAAGGGAUGACAAUGAAGCUGCUCCACCAGUCACCACCUACUUCAUCGGAGUUAAGAGAUGCCUUUCAUAGGGCAGCAGUAUAAUUUUUUGAUGCUGGGGCUGAAUAUUACUGCCUCAAGGCUAUGAUUUUGUCACUUUUUUUUUAUUACUGAGGAGGUUAGGGUGGAAGGGUGAAA